rnacentral:rRNA from 1 species
GACGAACGCUGGCGGCGUGCUUAACACAUGCAAGUCGAACGGGGUCCAUCCGGUAGCAAUACCGGUGAAGGCCUAGUGGCGAACGGGUGAGUAACACGUGAGCAACCUGCCCCGAAGACCGGGAUAACAGCGGGAAACCGCUGCUAAUACCGGAUGCCCCCACCGGGCCCCAUGGCCUGGUGAGGAAAUGGAUUCCGCUUCGGGAGGGGCUCGCGGCCUAUCAGCUAGUUGGUGAGGUAACGGCCCACCAAGGCGACGACGGGUAGCUGGUCUGAGA